CGAGGCAACAGGGAGGGUAUGGGUAGGAGAGGGACGGGCGAGGAAGGAAUCUUCAGGAGAAGGACUAGGGCGGAAUCGGGGAAGGGAAGGAAUGUCCGCUACGGUAGCUGCGGCAUGCUUGCGUUGCUCAGCUAUACUCGUCGGAUGGGGGGGUCUUGCCACCGUAGCUGGACCUCACCUCUUUUCAAAAACAUAGAUCAUGCCUAGUACACUAGAUUUCAAAAAUAGUGAUACACCACCACCACUGGUUCGCUUUCCUCGGACGCCGUUGAUGACGUCACGGUUUGGCCUGUUCCCUCCCAGCCUGGAAUCCAUUCGGCCGGAAUCUCGGAUUCCCCAAAUCUGGAGACAAGUCAGUGGUGGACUCACAUCCUACCCCUUUUCGAAAACCCGCUUACCUUACCGCACCUCCUUCCAAUUGACUCACCACUUCAUGAUAACAAAUAUCUUAGACAUAAACAAAAAAAAAGGAACAGAAUCGAAGCUGAAUAGACAUUCUAUCAAUUUGGGAUUAACAUUCGAUUUAUUGCUUCAGAAAAAAAACAUCCAAGAAAACAAAAUAGUUGACUCUAACAAAAUCGUACUAACAAAAAAACAAACUUAACUAGAAAUAAUUUUAAUGCUAAUAAAUUUACUCUAAUUACAAUAAGAAUGAAAUAUAUAUAUCAACCUCUACCUAAGAGUCGGUUCAAUAAAGUGGGGGUCUUACUAUUGCCCAAUCCAGGGCUUGACUUACAAUCCGCCGUUCCUACCUACACAGAGCUCUUAUGCGGGUGUAUACGAGGGGACGAGCAAAAUGUUGCGUUAAGCGCGCGCUGUCGUCGACGUGUCGUCGCCGUCGCGCUGCUUUGAAUUGUUGAAACCUACCCCACGUUAGCAAACACUCCCUAUGGCAAGUUGAAAUAAGAAUUAAAUUGGAACAACAAAAUAAAUAAUUCUGAACUGAGUUUAAAAAAACCAAACCACAGUGAGAAUAACUAUCAAACAAAAAAAAAAUAUAACAACAAAAAAAAAGGAAUAAGGAUUGAAUAUUAAGUAAAUAAUUGAAGAAUAUAAUAAAAAAAAAGGUAAUAAAUAAGUGAAAUUUUGAAUAACUAAAUGAAUUAAUUAUAAUUAUAUAAAGAAGUAGUAAGUAAUGGAGAUGUCCAAGCAAAAAUGUCGUUCUUCCAUGCGUGCUCAGGCGCGUCUUGCCUGCCGGUGAAAUGUACAACGCCGGGGCUUCACUACGGACUAUCGGACGGCACUUAUGUUUUCUUGAGCAACAAUGAAUCUUUUGUCUGCAUGCGUACAAUAAAUUCUUUUGUUUGGCGGAGGCAAAAAUCCGCAGCGCGGGUGAAUUUUCGGGGCGCUCAGAGUGUUCGAAAAGGCUUAUUUGAGCUGCCCAAUUAGUCACUAUACUACCAAUAUGAUUUCUUUUUUUAAUAAGAUAGGGUUACUUGUGGACCCGGGUGCUUCACGGGUCAGAUUUAACUUCGGGGCUUUUUUGGCCCUCCCUCCAACGGCUAGGCACCAAUUUAUACGGUCGACCGUGUUUCGUCUUUCGGUUCUACGAUGAUUGCGUCCACCCAAAAAUUCACCCUAAUUUUAUCAAAAACAAAAAAAUCACUAACUUGCACUAAUUCUGCAUUCUUUACGCACUCACCUUUACGCGCUUUUAGUUAACGAAUAAAACAAAUAUGGAACCAAACUAUUCUUCGGUUUUUGUAACGACGAACACAAUUUCGAUUUUGUUAUUGUUGAACCGGCACAAACUAUUCGUUGCUAAUGCAGCACAAUGACCGCCCUCACUACCUUUCACUUGACUAGUGAUUCGCUAGCUUUGGCCUAUUACUGAUCGCACCGAUGAAGAUGGUAAAAACUGUCGAUCUACCGUGUGAUCUAUUAACCUUUCCACCUAGCCCAUCACCUCAUCAUUAUUAUAUAACGAUUCUUUAUUACUAUUGGCCCGCACUAUCGGCUGAGAAGCGCAACGGUCUUUCUCGUAAAUAUUCAAAUCUGGCCAGUAAAUAACAACCCCCCUUCUUCUAUCCUGGGUCGUGUCUUGGAUAAGCAAAAAUAUCCCUUGCUACAGUGGGAUACGAAGUGAGCUGUCAUCUGUCAACUUAUUCAUUUAACUUUGACAGAACCAAAAUUAUAAAUUAUUUAUUUGCAAAUUGCAACACGUUUAUCAUAUUCGCGCGUUAUAUUAAUGUUCAUUCCCGAGUAAAUAUCGGACAAAAAACAUAAAAACAUAAAAAAACAACAUAAAAACAUAGAAACCAGGAAGAAGGAUGCAAAAAACACAAACCACCCAGACGGACAGCUCCAGCACGGAAAGAAGGAACCUCCCACGCCGAAGCUAAGUAUUUUGUAUGUUUACUUAAUGGUUUUGCCACAUAAGAAUCCUUUUAUUUUGCAGGUGGCUUUCCCUUGGUCGUCCAGAAAACCUUCGGAAGAGCCCAGAAGUCUUCUGAAACCAUUCCGUUGGACUGACUGACCAAGAAGAGCAGAACACUUCUGUUUUGGAAACAGAAUCAUUCGAAGAAUGGAAGUGGAGAACGACACCAGUAUUUGUCCACAACAAAACUCCGGAUCUGGUACCAGCUACUGGAAGAACAGAGACGGUGAAGGCUGCUCCCUAAACAAACGUUGUAGUCCAAAGUGGGGAAGAACUCACGCCCCAAAGCCGGGCAUACGUGAUUUCAAGAAAGACGGUACUAUUCAUCGAGGUGAGGUUGUGAUUAAGACAUUCCUAGACUUAAGUAUCCCAAUAGUUUUAAGGUUUAAAUUAUAAGAUCAUCGAGUUAAGUCUAGUACGUAAUUUUAGUAUAAGUUCGCAUACACUCGACUAAAUAGCUUCCUGAAGCAAUAAAGACAAAACCGAUACCAA